AGUGAACGCUGGCGGUAGGCCUAACACAUGCAAGUCGAACGGCAGCACAGUAAGAGCUUGCUCUUACGGGUGGCGAGUGGCGGACGGGUGAGGAAUACAUCGGAAUCUACUUUUUCGUGGGGGAUAACGUAGGGAAACUUACGCUAAUACCGCAUACGACCUACGGGUGAAAGCAGGGGAUCUUCGGACCUUGCGCGAUUGAAUGAGCCGAUGUCGGAUUAGCUAGUUGGCGGGGUAAAGGCCCACCAAGGCGACGAUCCGUAGCUGGUCUGAGAGGAUGAUCAGCCACACUGGAACUGAGACACGGUCCAGACUCCUACGGGAGGCAGCAGUGGGGAAUAUUGGACAAUGGGCGCAAGCCUGACCCAGCCACACCGCGUGAGUGAAGAAGGCCUUCGGGUUGUAAAGCUCUGUUGUUGGGGAAGAAAAGCUGCGGGUGAAUCCACCGCUGUUCUGACGGUACCUAAAGAAAAAGCACCGGCUAACUUCGUG
rnacentral:rRNA from 1 species